rnacentral:rRNA from 1 species
CGGUGAGGGCUCCAGCUUGUCUGAAUUAUUCACCCAUGUCUUUUGCGCACUUCUUGUUUCCUGGGCGGGUUCGCCCGCCACCAGGACCAAACCAUAAACCUUUUUGUAAUUGCAAUCAGCGUCAGUAAACAAUGUAAUUAUUACAACUUUCAACAACGGAUCUCUUGGUUCUGGCAUCGAUGAAGAACGCAGCGAAAUGCGAUACGUAGUGUGAAUUGCAGAAUUCAGUGAAUCAUCGAAUCUUUGAACGCACAUUGCGCCCUUUGGUAUUCCAAAGGGCAUGCCUGUUCGAGCGUCAUUUGUACCCUCAAGCUUUGCUUGGUGUUGGGCGUCUUGUCUCUCACGAGACUCGCCUUAAAAUCAUUGGCAGCCGACCUACUGGUUUCGGAGCGCAGCACAAUUCUUGCACUUUGAAUCAGCCUUGGUUGAGCAUCCAUCAAGACCCUAUUUUUUUUAACUUUUGACCUCGGAUCAGGUAGGGAUACC